rnacentral:rRNA from 1 species
GUCGGAUUAGCUAGUUGGUAGGGUAACGGCCUACCAAGGCGACGAUCCGUAGCUGGUCUGAGAGGACGACCAGCCACACUGGGACUGAGACACGGCCCAGACUCCUACGGGAGGCAGCAGUGGGGAAUAUUGGACAAUGGGGGAAACCCUGAUCCAGCGACGCCGCGUGUGUGAAGAAGGCCUGCGGGUUGUAAAGCACUUUUAGUGGGGAUGAAAAGCUCAGGGCUAAUACCUCUGGGUCUUGACCUAACCCACAGAAAAAGCACCGGCUAACUCUGUGCCAGCAGCCGCGGUAAUACAGAGGGUGCGAGCGUUAAUCGGAAUUACUGGGCGUAAAGCGAACGUAGACGGUUGGAUAAGUCGGAUGUGAAAGCCCCGGGCUCAACCUGGGAAUUGCAUUCGAGACUGUUCAGCUAGGGUGCGGAAGAGGGAAGCGGAAUUUCCGGUGUAGCGGUGAAAUGCGUAGAUAUCGGAAGGAACACCAGUGGCGAAAGCGGCUUCCUGGUCCAGCACCGACGUUCAGGUUCGAAAGCAUGGGGAGCA